CCUACGGGUGGCAGCAGUGAGGAAUAUUGGUCAAUGGGCGCGAGCCUGAACCAGCCAAGUCGCGUGAGGGAAGACGGUCCUAUGGAUUGUAAACCUCUUUUGUCGGGGAGCAAAAGACGCCACGCGUGGCGUUCCGCGAGUACCCGAAGAAAAAGCAUCGGCUAACUCCGUGCCAGCAGCCGCGGUAAUACGGAGGAUGCGAGCGUUAUCCGGAUUUAUUGGGUUUAAAGGGUGCGCAGGCGGAAGAUCAAGUCAGCGGUAAAAUUGAGAGGCUCAACCUCUUCGAGCCGUUGAAACUGGUUUUCUUGAGUGAGCGAGAAGGAUGCGGAAUGCGUGGUGUAGCGGUGAAAUGCAUAGAUAUCACGCAGAACUCCGAGUGCGAAGGCAGCAUACCGGCGCUCAACUGACGCUCAUGCACGAAAGUGUGGGUAUCGAACAGGAUGAGAUACCCCAGUAGUC
rnacentral:rRNA from 1 species